rnacentral:lncRNA from 1 species
UAUUUCCAUAGUGCUAGAAAAUAAAUAGUACAACAAUUUCCUUCCAGAGGACUCCCAGGAAGAUGGUGGAGUGGUAAGCAGCAAUAAAUCAGACUCUGCAAAUCAGAAUCCAGGAUCUGAAAGGAUAAUUGGAGCCUACAGAGAAAUUGAAGAGACAGACCACAAUGCAGAAAAAGGAAGGGGCAAUCUGUACUUUAUCCCAGCUCCUGGCUUCUGGGGAGAGAAAGGAACAUAGAAUCUACAGAGACACGGUGAAAGCAGGCAAAGACAGCGGCCUUCAGGGAGAAAUCCAGCAGCGGAAUGGACCAGUGGAUGACAUACAUGACAGCUGAGAUUAGAUUUUGAAAAUUUGGAAAUGGAACUGAUGGAAUUUCAAGGAAGCUCUAUCUGGAAAAAUAAAUGCUAUGACUUGAGUGAAACACUUGAGAAGACAGAG